AGGUGCGUUCAUACCAGCACUGAUGCACCGGAUCCCAUCAGAACUCUGCAGUUAAGCGUGCUAGGGCGAGAGUAGUACUAUGAUGGGUGACCUCUUGGGAAGUCCUUGUGUUGCACCUCUCCCAUCCUUUGUUUUCUUUCUAGAAAACAUUAAGACUUCUAUAAAUUUUUCCCUUUUUUUCUUCUUCUAGAAAAUAGUAAGACUUCUAUAUGUUUUUAUUUUUUUGUUAAUUGUUGAAGUUUUAUAUUUUUCGCAACGAACAAACACAUAUAUACAAUUAGAGCGUAUUACUCUCAGGUUCGUUUAUACCAGCACUGAUGCACCGGAUCCCAUCAGAACUCCACAGUUAAGCGUGCUAGGGCGAGAGUAGUACUAUGAUGGGUGACCUCCUGGGAAGUCAUUGUGUUGAUGUCUCCCACCUUUUGUUUUCUUUCUAGAAAAUAUUAACACUUCUAUAAAUUUUUCCCUUUUUUUCUUCUUCUAGAAAAUAGUAAGACUUCUAUAUGUUUUUAUUCUUUUGUUAACUGUCGAAGUUUUAUAUUUUUCGCAACGAACAAACACAUAUAUAUAAUUAGAGCGUAUUACUCUCAGGUGUGAUCGUACCAGCACUAAUGCACCAGAUUUCAUCAGAACUCCGUAGUUAAGCGUGCUUGGGCGAGAGUAGUUCUAGGAUGGGUGACCUUUUGGGAAGUCCUUGUGUUGCACCUCU
rnacentral:lncRNA from 1 species